AUUGAACGCUGGCGGCGUGCCUAACACAUGCAAGUCGAGCGGUAACAGGUGUAGCAAUACAUGCUGACGAGCGGCGGACGGGUGAGUAACGCUUGGGAAUCUGCCUAUUAGUGGGGGACAACCCGGGGAAACUCGGGCUAAUACCGCAUACGCACUACGGUGGAAAGCCGGGGACCGCAAGGCCUGGCGCUAACAGAUGAGCCCAAGUCGGAUUAGCUAGUUGGUAGGGUAACGGCCUACCAAGGCGACGAUCCGUAACUGGUCUGAGAGGACGACCAGUCACACCGGAACUGAGACACGGUCCGGACUCCUACGGGAGGCAGCAGUGGGGAAUCUUGCGCAAUGGGCGAAAGACCUGACGCAGCGACGCCGCGUGAGGGAUGACGGCCUGUGUACU
rnacentral:rRNA from 1 species